rnacentral:rRNA from 1 species
GUUUCCUUAACUGCCCCCGAGUGUGUUCGCCACCUCGUACACCGAAUUAAGCUCCGUUGCGCUUCUUGGAAUAGGAUCUAAGCUGUACGUGCCUAAUCACCCACCUUUGUAAGUACUGCGAGCGUUCUCACCUUGCACGUGUCCACGACGUACCGACAGCAGUCGAGAACGGCACUCCACAGCCCAAUUCAGGAAAUUGCUCGCUUUGGGGACAGCAGUCAACGGUCGUAAAUCAACCCCUGAGACUGCUCUGGCGGCCGCAGUUCGGCCUCCUUCCGCCCCUGCUGCAGUUCAGUAGUACCGGAAAUACAGAUCCCGACGUGUGCACGAUGUUACGGCGCAUAUUUCCCUUCGUUCUGGCGCUCCACCUCGUUUAGGGUUUUUCGCGCCGGGUCAAGCCUAACGUCCGACGUUGAGCGGACGUACUUCGGCCUUAGCGAUCAUUAGCGUCUAGUCGAUACGACGCCACUUACACAAGGACUCGGAACAUGUGUGGCGGGCAGUUCGGUGCUUUCCCCCCUCGCAGGCUUCAGUGACUCACUUGGCGUUCCUGUGUCCACGGAUUCUGCUCGAGGGACUAACCCUGAUUCAGCAUUGUUCCAUUGGCAUUUCCCGCUUAAGACGUCUAUAGGUAGUGUGUCCGCCCACGAGCUCGUAC